GGGAGAGGAGGGUUGAGAAUGAAUCUGAGCUUUUCCUUCUAAGUCUUUGGAUUUUGAGUAGCCCAAGAUGGCUCUCUUCACCACCAUGUUCUGAAGCAGGGGUGACUAUUUCUCUUCCUGAGGUUGGGGAGCUGAGUAUCACAGUUAGGCAACGGUGGGCCAUGCGCUGGUGAAAUGGAUCAAACAUACAGGCCACGAGGGAAAGCAGGAACAGGCCACAGACAGUCAGACCCAAGGCACAUGCUAUUUUCUGCCUUACUGAAAAGAUGAAACAUAGCUGUAUCCUGGCCGCUUCAACUGGCGGGAAAUGAAAAGUACAGAAAACCCAUCUACAAGAAGUAAAAUCAACAAGCACAAAGGGAGACAGAGGAAAGCUCUGGAGAAGAGCCCUCCUUGAUGUGAGCACAAGGGACCUCCAUGCUCCUACUUCUGCUGGUCUCCAUUUCACCAGGCGCCUCCCUCCGACUUCCAAUUGGCCACAAGCUUCGUCGCUCUCUCUCAAAGCAAUUUUGUGUGUGAGUAUAGUCAGAAGGCUCCAAAGGCAACAUCUGGGUCUGGUCACUGAAGACAGAUGGGCUCCUUCUACUUCUUCUCCCAUCCCCUGGAGGCCUCUGCCAGAGGGUAACAUGCUAUUUGAAUGUAAUGAUACGCUGGUGAAAUUUUACUGGCUAGUGUUAUGUUUAGUGCAUCCUUAUCUUUAGGACCCGUUCUGUACAGACCUCCUCAUUACAGAUGGAUUUCUCGAUUUCAAAACAUUCCUGGGCUUUCUAAAUGCUGUCAUUGAACUAAUUCUUAUGAUUUUUCUUCCAUUACUUUCUUUAUACUUCCAAGUCCUCUUUAUCUGACAUUGAACCUGAAGCCAGUUUCCUGAAAAUAAUCACUUGUGCUACUGUGGUUAUGAACCAAUAAAAGGUUCAGGGUUGAUUUGGAUUUAUUUUGUACUGUGCCAUCAUCAAAUCCUUGAUAUUUUCUCCGGGUGUGAAGACCUCAUACACUCAGACUUAACCUGUUUCAUUUUCCUCUUUUUCUUCCCUUUAAGGAACAAGGUCGAAAAUGUUCUACUUUGGUUAUAAGAACUAAGGUUUUCCUAGAGUAGUGAUUAGCAGUAAUAAAAAGGUUUUAUUAAACAUUAACAAAGAGCCAGAUGCAAAGGCAAGAGCUUUGGAGC
rnacentral:lncRNA from 10 species